rnacentral:rRNA from 1 species
AUCAACGCUGGCGGCGUGCCUCAGACAUGCAAGUCGAACGCGAAAGUCCCUUUCGGGGGACAAGUAGAGUGGCGCACGGGUGAGUAAUACGUAGGUAAUCUACCUUCGGAUGGGGAAUAACAACCGGAAACGGUUGCUAAUACCGCAUAAUGCAGCGGCACCUAAUGGUGACAGUUGUUAAAGCGGGGGAUCGAAAGACCUCGCGUCUGAAGAGGAGCCUGCGGCGGAUUAGCUAGNGGUAGGGUAACGGCCUACCAAGGCGACGAUCCGUAGCCGGCCUGAGAGGGCGGUCGGCCACACUGACACUGACAUACGGGUCAGACUCCUACGGGAGGCAGCAGUCGGGAAUUUUGGGCAAUGGGCGAAAGCCUGACCCAGCAACGCCGCGUGAAGGAUGAAAUCCCUCGGGAUGUAAACUUCGC